UUCAAAUUUAUUUGAAUUCAUAAAUGAAAACAUCUGUUUUCAUUAAGCCUUUCAAUAUAAGCUAAGCAUUUACAUAUUGAAAUAUGUUCUUUUGUUAUAAAUUACAUUCAGGACAUUAUUUUUUAUGGGUAUAAGUACAUCUGAUCUAUGAAUCUUAUUUUAGGAUAAUACAAGGGCUUUGUAGAAUAUUUUUUAUUUAAAAAAAGGGUUGAAAAGAUUUCAACUACUGUUUUAAAACAGCAUAGUCUCCAGUCAUAGCUGAAAAUGAUUUUUCAAGAAACGAAGUUGCCCCUAUACAUAUUGUUAUAAUACCUUAAAUUCUUGCAACUUCCUUUGAUAAGAAAAAUUAAUUUCUCACUUUUUCUACAUUGCAGAAACAUUAAUCAACAAAAGAAAUGAGAUAUUUCUUACUAGGACUGUUGGUAUCUCUUUGACUUUCAUCUUCUAAAACAAAAAGAGAUUUUGAGUUAAUUGUAUUAUACAUCUAUUUAUCUGGAAGGAAAAGAUAAAAAAAAAAGGUCCAAUAAAGAUUAAGCAAACUUGAUUAUCUCGAGAGCAGGCAGGAUUAAUAAGUUUAGAAGUAUAUGGCAGGUUGCAGAAAAGUUUAGUUUUUACUCAUUUAUGCUCUUUGAAAAAUUUCUCCAUGAAUAUGCAUUUCCAUUAAAAUAGAGGUUAAAAUGUUGUUUACCAAAAAGGUAUUUUUUCUACAUACUGAACUCAGAUUUUCCCAAGUAUACCAUUAAUGAUUUAUUGUUUAUUAUCUGUCAGGCAUAAUGAAAAUGCUUUAUGUACAUUACUUCUUACAAUCCUAAUAGGCAGGUAUUGUUAGCCAUAUUUCACAGAUGUUCUUUAAAACACGUGUGACAUGUUUUGAGGUAUGACAUACCAAAAAUCACAGAGGUUAAGUGGUAGCAAUAUCUGAUUUCAAAACCUUUACUUUUAAUCACUAUUCUAUACUAUCUCCAUGUGUGUGUCUCGCAUUGAAAUAUUUCAUUAGUUAUUAUAUUUUCACAGUUUUAAAACUAAAUUCUAGGAGCUCAGGAUAGAGAAUAGAGGUGUAUAUCAAAAUCUGUCUGGAAGACAAGUGUCAAGUGGCAGAAAGUGAACAAAACUUGAAACGUUUGAGUCAUGGUUGUCUCUUUCUAGCCUUUCACUGUUCCUAUGUUCCACUUCCUCAUCUUUGAAGUGACACUGGAUUAAAUGAGAACUUGUGAACUGUUUUGACAUUGCCUUUUAAAAAGGCUGCACUGUACAUAGUUUUAAAGGAGAGUGCACAAUCCAACACAGUCUCAGCAAAACCCAGGGUCCUAUUUGUGAAAUAAGGGAGAGUGUAGUGAGGAGCUCAAUGUUAAUAUGUCAUAGUUGUCAUUCACAGUUCUUUGAUGAUGCUAUUCCUAUGUCCUCAGAUUCCCUCCCUAUUCCAGUUCACUCUGGAAAGCCUCCUGCCUCAUUCUGGAACAGAAAAGCCCAGCUGGACAGUAACUGUUCCAGUUUCAGGUCAAGCAUCAUUUUUCUUCUUGGCCCAGAGAACCUUAAUAGCAGCCCACUGCUCACAAUAAUAAGUUCUCAACCUUCCCCUCCUCUGCCAUUCAGAGAAGGAUGUCAGAAACUGUAGAGCCCAAAUAUCUUCCCUAGGCCCCCUUAAGCCUGACAUAACUGAGUGAUUACAGUGAAGGACUUAGAACCGCAUGGUGCCUUCACCCCCAAUAUAGAAUUUAUUACCUUUUAUUUCAUCUGGUUCUACCACUUUUAUUCCUAAGUGAAAAAAAUAUUUUCAGUUAAUGAUUAUUUACUAUUUUAUUACUAUUUAUUUUAUCAUGUAUUUUAUACUUCAUUAGGUCCUAAUUUACUCCCAAAAGACUGAAGUAUCCUCAUCUCACACAGGUAGAAGCAGAGGCCCACAAAAAUUAAGUAACUUAUACAAAGUUACCUAAAGGAAAGUGGCAGAGGAGCGACUUCCUGAAGCUAGCAGUCGAGGAAAAAAAAGAGGGAAAGAAGAGAAAAGGAGAAGAAAGAGAAGGAAGAGAAUGGAAAAAGAAAGAAAACAGCCACAACAAAAAGCACCUUUUCAAUGGUUUUUUCACUUUCCAACAGGAUGAAGUCCAAACUCCUUAAGCUAGAACUACCAUGAUCUACCCCUUAUAUCUCCACCUCAUCUUCAUAAGGCAGUCCCUAUAACAACCAUUUUUAAAUGAAAUAUUAAUGGGUUGAAGUCUCUGCUUGGUUUAGCUCCUGUCAUUACAGUUAUUAGUUCUAUAAUUUUGGGCAGGCUACUUAUUUACAUUAAAUUGGGAGUACUUUCUUAUAUCAUUAAAUGAUUUUAAAAACAA